GGGAGGUAGUGACAAUAAAUAACAAUACAGGGCUCUUAUGGGUCUUGUAAUUGGAAUGAGUACAAUUUAAAUCCCUUAACGAGGAACAAUUGGAGGGCAAGUCUGGUGCCAGCAGCCGCGGUAAUUCCAGCUCCAAUAGCGUAUAUUAAAGUUGUUGCAGUUAAAAAGCUCGUAGUUGAAUUUCGGGAUUCUACCGUUGGUCGGGCUAACAAGUCUGUACUGGUGUGUAGAAUUUCUACCUUCUGGGGAACUAUCAUGUUAUUAAUUUAGCGUGGUGGGAAACCAGGACCUUUACCUUGAAAAAAUUAGAGUGUUCAAAGCAGGCUUACGUCUGAAUACAUUAGCAUGGAAUAAUAGAAUAGGACGGUGGUCCUGUUUUGUUGGUUUCUGAAUCACCGUAAUGAUUAAUAGGGAUAGUUGGG
rnacentral:rRNA from 1 species